AUGUUUACAUCAUUUGUGAGUAUGUUACAAAUAGUGCGGCAGAUCUUGACAGGAGUCAUGUCUGUGAAGCUAAAGCGGGAUCGGGCAGUUCAGGCGUGGGUCGGGGCAGGCGGCAAACAGAGUCGGAGCAGAAGCGUGAUCGGGAAAACAGAAUCAGGCCCCACAUCAAAGAAGGAACCAGUUACGUGGCCUUGGCGAGGAAAAGUUUGGGGACCGCGGAUCUUUAUCGGCCCUGGAGCUGUCGCUGCUCUGAGGUGGUUGAUCUUACGGGGAUGUGCAGAAGCGGUCUGGCCUCUUCUGUCUUCAGCUUGUAUCCGUCCAGCGGGACGUGUUCAAUCUUCCCACUCUGAGCAAACACCAGGUGAGUUCCCAGAGAGACGGGGUGGACGUCGGGCCGUGGGGUGGGGCCCCCAGGGGUCGGCGUCACAGCCUGGUUGAUACCUGAAAGGAAAAAGAUAAUCUGACUGGAAUGGAGGUCUGGAGGAUCAAGAUUCUACUCUUUUAGAGUCUUAAAGGGUAACCAAACCCCUAAAUGAACUUUCUUUGGCUGUUGACAUCUAUAAAUGGGGCUUUAGAAGGGACCAAAUUUUUGACAAAUUCAAAUAAAACUGUUUAAUUCUUCAAAAUAUAGUCUGUGUGCUGCCCCCACAGGUUGAAAUGAGGUAUUACAGUUGAAUUUUGUGGAAGUCUGACGUCAUGAUCUGCAGCUCUAGUAAUAAAAGUCCAGCCCCAAGCCCCACCCCUCUGACUGGAUUUUUAAAUUUCAGAUGGGUGGAGUCAGCCUCCAACUUCCUUGUUUGGUUACCCUUUAAUGAAUAAAAAUGACAUGAAUUGAAAUACUCACACAGGGCGGCGUUGACGGCUCCGGUGCGAGUGUCGGGGAUCUCCUGGCCGUUGGCGUCCACGCACCAACACUGUCCCGCGCUGGCGUGGCACUGCGUGGGCUCGUAAGCACCGAGCCGGUCACACUGAGGGACGUGCUGAGUGACGGCCGGACGGGGACGGAAAAAGGAGAAGAAGCCGGAUCCUGAGGAGGCGGCAGUUUGGGCGCUUUCUCUCUGCAGCUCGCAGGGCGUCUUCUCACGUUCUGAAGCACAGAAAAGUCACCAAAACACUUUAAAAAAGAAACAACAGCUGUUUUUCUACGGUAAGAAUUAAAAAAAGCAAAUGUUGAUUUAGAUCACCUGAAA
rnacentral:lncRNA from 1 species